rnacentral:lncRNA from 1 species
UUGUAAAAGUUGAAAGUCUAUUUAAGAACUGAAAAUUGGAAUCCUAUAGGAAAAAAAAUGUAAGAUAUGAAAGCAGAAAAAAAAAUUAUAUUACAGUCUUCAUUGUCGUCCACUGUAGUCGAUGAUCAACAGAGUCCUUGACAUGGUUGCAACAGUCUUUGAAGGUGGCGGGGAAGUGAGUUGCUGCUAGAGAUCUGCAAGGCACAUAUCAAAUUAAUACACUUAUUUUAGCUUAUGUUGUAGCUACACAAACCAAACAUUAAUUCCCCCAAAGUUCCCACAUACAAGCAUCUAUGUAGAGAAAUUGUAACACAACUUAAGUUCCAAAGUGACGUAAAAAAAAACUGCACUUGAGCUAUGCAAAACUAACCUAGAGCCAAUUCAUAAAACUUUAAUCCAAAAUCACAGAAACCUAUAACAUCACAUGAAUUGAGCAUGAUAAACUGAGUUCAGGAGUCAUUACUCAUUACCCCAUGUCUAUUACCCAAUAAUCAACAAGUUAAACGUGUAUUUGGUCUAUUCAUGCAGGUUUGACCCAAUGGUAAAAACACUUUCUUUAAUGAAAGACAUAUGAGUGCACCAAUGCGCCUUAAGUGUGCCUACGGUCGCGAAUGAAGAAGGAUCGAGACGGAAAAUAUAUGGUGAGACAUCGACGUGGAGGUUGCUGCCAAACUGUCCUACCUUGGAGCAUUAG